UGCUUUUACUAAAAUCCCUUGUUUUUUUUUACUUUCCCACCGUACCCUGCUAUAUUUCCACGUGUCAGGCUGUCAUAUUGAGACGCACCAGAAGCUUAUGAUGGACCGCUCUCUUUGCAACUCCUCCAAAGUCCUCGGUGGGCUGUGUCUUGCUUCAAAUUCGAAUAGCACCCAUGUAAGACCUAACCAGUAUGAAGUUUCGUCAUUUAUUCUGGUAAGGUGGAAUACGCUCAGUAAAUUGUUAAAGCUUUGAAGAGGGGGACACACACCAAGUUGGCCUUUUGAAAUCAUAAUAGUGCUGGUGUCAUCGUGAAUCCAAAGGGAGAAAUGAAAUGAUCCGCCAUUACUGGUCCAAUUGGGAAGGAGUGUGCUGAUCUGUGGCCAAGGAUUGCAAGCGCAGCCAAUGCCAUUUUCUAAGAGCUACAAACUUUAAAUCAUGAUUUAGACUGAGAUGUAAAAAAUACGUUUUGACAGAUGUUGAUGGGGAUUUUAUGGUCAAUGACUUGGGACAAAAAAUUAUAUUCUAUAUUUUCAGUUUUUGUGA